UACGGGGGGGGUAAGCGUUGUUCGGAAUUACUGGGCGUAAAGGGCUCGUAGGCGGCCAACUAAGUCGGACGUGAAAUCCCUCGGCUUAACUGGGGAACUGCGUCCGAUACUGGAUGGCUUGGAUUUGGGAGAGGGAUGCGGAAUUCCAGGUGUAGCGGUGAAAUGCGUAGAUAUCUGGAGGAACACCGGUGGCGAAGGCGGCAUCCUGGACCAAUAUUGACGCUGAGGAGCGAAAGCCAGGGGAGCAAACGGG
rnacentral:rRNA from 1 species